GUCGGUGUCGGGAUAUCUCGA
rnacentral:siRNA from 1 species